GCAAGGACCUGGUGGAACGCUCCAGCGACUAUCUCGAUGGCCAGUUGCGCCUGCGCGAGCGCCUUGGCGUGCGUGCGCACCUGGCCAUGUGCGUGCAUUGCCGGCGCUUCAUCCGGCAGCUGAAGCUGAGCCAGGCGGUGCUGCGCCAGCUGCCGGAAAAGCCCGUUGCCGAACUGGAUGCGCUGGCCGAAAAGCUCGCCCGGCAACGCCGCGAACCCUGAUUCAGAGCGGGUCACUACCGUUC
rnacentral:sRNA from 1 species